rnacentral:rRNA from 1 species
CCUACGGUGUGCAGCAGUGAGGAAUAUUGGUCAAUGGACGCAAGUCUUAACCAGCCAAGUAGCGUGCAGGAUGACGGCCCUCCGGGUUGUAAACUGCUUUUAGUUGGGAAUAAAAGGGGGCUCGUGAGCCCCGUAUUGUAUGUACAAUAAGAAAAAGGACCGGCUAAUUCCGUGCCAGCAGACGCGGUAAUACGGAAGGGCCGGGCGUUAUCCGGAUUUAUUGGGUGUAAAGGGAGCGUAGGCAGGCGUUUAAGUCAGCGUGGAAAGUCCGCGGCUCAACCGUGGAAUUGCAGUUGAUACUGGAGGCCUUGAGUGCACACAGGGAUGCCGGAAUUCAUGGUGUAGCGGUGAAAUGCUUAGAUAUCAUGAAGAACUCCGAUCGCGAAGGCAAGUGUCCGGGGUGCAACUGACGCUGAGGCUCGAAAGUGCGGGUAUCAAACAGGAUUAGAUACCCCGGUAGUC